GCCCCUGUAGCUCAGUUAGGAUAGAGCAACGGUUUCCUAAACCGUGUGUCGGACGUUCAAUUCGUCUCAGGGGCACCA
rnacentral:tRNA from 1 species